ACUGCAGCCUGUGUAGGGGAGAUUCCGGAUUAGGGUUCGUGUGAGAACGCCUGAGCCUGCUGCAGGCAUCGCACCACCUACGCACCCCAGAAAGAUGAGCCCAGCAGAAGUGCAGAGCAUCCUGCAGUUCCCUCGCUGGUGGAGGACUGAGAAAACAGGGAUCCUUGCACCUUCUUCCAAAGGACGUACCAAGAACCACCUCCAAAAGAGGGUACCAGAUAUGACAAACAGAGGGAGCACCAGUGACAAAGCUGCGCAAACCUGGCAGUCUGCACACUGAUGCACUCCACAUCCUCCCACGGCCAAAUUCUGCCUGCAGACACCCAGGUAGAACUUCGGGUGCUGUCAGCAGGAACUGAGGAAAGAUAUCUGAGGCUACGAGUGAUCCUUCCAUGCGACUAAAUAUUUAUAUAUUCUUCAAAAUAAACCCUCGUCCACCCAGAAAAAUAAAUGCCACACAGGAGUGGUAUUUGGAAUAUUUGAGACCUGGCUAUGCAAACCAUGGACAUCAAAUUUUGGAAGCUGAAGGCAUGCUUCAAAGAUGUUUAGCAAGCUCUGUUUCUUAUUUUGCAACGUAAACAAUAGUUUUGUGGGAAAGCACAUUUCAAAUAUAAAACUAUGGUUACGCAAGCUAUGAUUUUGAAAGACAUUGGAAUUCAUUUCAAAGUUACCAUGCUUUGCAAUUGUCUAAUAUAGCAUACCGAAUUUCAGACAGUAUGUAAAAGUGUCAGAAUUAUUAUAUCAGUCCUUAACAGA